rnacentral:rRNA from 1 species
AUUGAACGCUGGCGGCAGGCCUAACACAUGCGAGUCGAGCGGAUGAAGGGAGCUUGCUCCUGGAUUCAGCGGCGGACGGGUGAGUAAUGCCUAGGAAUCUGCCUGGUAGUGGGGGAUAACGUCCGGAAACGGGCGCUAAUACCGCAUACGUCCUGAGGGAGAAAGUGGGGGAUCUUCGGACCUCACGCUAUCAGAUGAGCCUAGGUCGGAUUAGCUAGUUGGUGGGGUAAAGGCCUACCAAGGCGACGAUCCGUAACUGGUCUGAGAGGAUGAUCAGUCACACUAGAACUGAGACACGGUCCAGACUCCUACGAGAGGCAGCAGUGGGGAAUAUUGGACAAUGGGCGAAAGCCUGAUCCAGCCAUGCCGCGUGUGUGAAGAAGGCCUUCGGAUUGUAAAGCACUUUAAGUUGGGAGGAAGGGCAGUAAGUUAAUACCUUGCUGUUUUGACGUUACCAACAGAAUAAGCACCGGCUAACUUCGUG